rnacentral:pre_miRNA from 1 species
CCCUUGGUUACCUGGGGGAUUUCUUAAAAGGCAGGUUCCAACCCAGCAGUGCAGGUGGGGUCUUGGAUCCUACAUGUCUAACAAACUCUUAGGGGUCCCCAUA